rnacentral:sRNA from 1 species
GCUGGGCAUGGUGGCACACACCUGUAAUCCCAGAUACUUGGGAGGCUGAGGCAGGAGGAUCACAAGUUUGAGGGCAGCUUAGGGAACUUAGUGAGACCCUGUUUCAA